rnacentral:rRNA from 1 species
UAUUGGUCAAUGGGUGCAAGCCUGAACCAGCCAUCCCGCGUGAAGGACGACUGCCCUAUGGGUUGUAAACUUCUUUUGUAUAGGGAUAAACCUACCCUCGUGAGGGUAGCUGAAGGUACUAUACGAAUAAGCACCGGCUAACUCCGUGCCAGCAGCCGCGGUAAUACGGAGGGUGCAAGCGUUAUCCGGAUUUAUUGGGUUUAAAGGGUCCGUAGGCGGACUUCUAAGUCAGUGGUGAAAGCCUGUCGCUUAACGAUAGAACUGCCAUUGAUACUGUAAGUCUUGAGUAUAUUUGAGGUAGCUGGAAUAAGUAGUGUAGCGGUGAAAUGCAUAGAUAUUACUUAGAACACCAAUUGCGAAGGCAGGUUACCAAGAUAUAACUGACGCUGAGGGACGAAAGCGUGGGGAGCGAACAGG